rnacentral:lncRNA from 1 species
CAUACCCUCAUAGUCCUCAAUCUUUGGCACAUCUGGAUCGGCGGAAACUCACUCGGUUUGCGCGUUGAUAUAUAACUAAUGGAAUGCUUAAAUAUCUCCAUUACCCGCUAAAAGAAUCAUGUCAGUACUGGUAUAAACGACCCUUUCCUCGCGUUCGGCUAUAGUAAGAGCCCCUGAAUCUAGAGCUGCUUGUCGUUCCAACCCAGUUCCAACAAUGCAUUUCUCAGAGCGAGAAAGAGAAAUUGCUUGAUGUUGCAUAUUAGAACUCAUUAAAGCUCGAUUCGCAUCAUUAUGUUCGAUAAAAGGAAUGAGGGAAGCUCCAAUAGAAAAAUAUUAAAAAGGAAAAAUACUUUGAAGAUGAACCUGUUCCCAUGCAAUAGUAAAGAAUUCUUGACGGUAUCGAGCUGGAACAACCUGUUCUUCCUGAAUAUCCUAAUUUAAGGCCAAAGAAUUUCCUACCGCUACCCAUCAACCACUUUUUCCUCUGGUUGGGAGUCUGUCGGUGGAGGAGAAAAGGGUCGUAGACUGGUUAGAUCGCCUUGAGAACCAGCUGAUAUGGAGCGCGACGCACAUAUUGCAAUCGCUCAACUAUUCGCCCCAACCCCACAUAAAAAAGGCAUGAAUGCAAAUAAAAAACAUCUCCUGGAUAAGCUUUACGAUCAGGCAGUCUUCGUAAUAGAAGAGACAUUUGGCGAUAAGCUUGCGCUUGUUUAGAGAGAUCAUCAUAAAUGAUUAAAGUGUGUCGUUCACGAUACAGAAAAUAUUCAGCCAGAGCUGCUCCUAUAUAAGGAGCAAGGUUUUGUAAUGUAGCAGGGGAAUCCGCCGUUUCGGCUACCACAAUAGUGUAUUCCAUCGCUCCCCUUUCCUGUAAAGUCGUUACUACCUAGGCCACAAAAAAUGCUUUUUGCCCUGUCUUUCUCUGAUUUGUUCCUUCCUCAACAAGCUUGGGAGUUUCCUGAUGUAAGCUCCCUGGGUACGGUUUCGGAGUUUAUGUAAAUGCCCUAUCUUCAAAGGGAGCUGCUGACUUAAGGUAUUCCCUGAUCCAAGGGUGAGCUAGAAUUUUGUAUGGUGAAGAGGAAAGGAAGAAGUCAUUGUAAAGGAAGACGACAUUGACCAUUUCCGUUGCCUGCCUAAAGGUUUAUUGGUAGCUCUUAGGUUCUCUGUCAGUAGAGUGAUUGCCAAAACCUAGGUAUGUUUUCAGAGAAUAAUAAGAAGAGACGGUUGUAGCUUUUAGCUAUGUUUCAAUUCUUGAUUCUAGUAUUAAGUGAAAGGUUAUGCCGAGAGGUUCUGUAUUAUGGGUCAAUCCUACUCUACUAGUGCUAAUAGGAAGCAUAGGGGAAGAAGCGCUACACCUAGGAAUCAACAACAUGAAAACUUUAUUCUAAGUCAGCCCUUCCCUUAGCGGACUUGGGACUAAAAGAAUGGUUGGGACAACAAACAUCCAUCUCGUUCGUCCUUUGGAUACCCGUAUAACCAUCGAAGUACGGGUCGUCCGCCCAAGAAGAAUGGCUAUCUUUCUCUUUACUUACGCAAUUUCUUUCUUUGUUGUUGAAGGAGUCUCUUCUUUUUUGGCUGCUCCCGCGACAAGUUCUUUUCAGUAUUGUAAUAAUAUUGCUUGCCAUCUUUGGUAUGGUAAACUAACUCCAACCAAGCCCAACACUUAAGAUGGCACAACUUCAACAUUCAAUCGCACAGCAUUAAAGGUAGCGAAGCUGACGGAUUAUAACAGCAUUAGACCAUUAAAAACUUACUUAACCGAUCAGGAACUAGACAAACCACAGGUCGAUAUAAUAGUAGUUAUUUUCAAAGGUAAAGUGAAGUCCCAACAUUCCUCAUAACACCGAACAUCUCGUAUGAGAGAUUCCAACAAAGAAUGGCUGCCUCGUAACUGCUUCUUCUGCAACGGAACAUGUUACUGCUUAAAGCAACAAAGAACGGCUAAAGCUCAUCGCAAGAUCGGAAAGAACACCAGCCCGCACAGACAACAACGACACGACUCCAAAUACAGGUAAAAAGGGGAUAGCAAUUAACUACUAACCCAUCCGCUAUACUAUAUAAAACCUAAGCUGAUAGGAAAGGGUUGUGGCCACCAGGCGAGAAGGACACCAAAAUGUGUCUAUAGUCUAUACCAGUGUCGGUAAUAGUGAGGUUUCUUUUUCCUUAGCCAAAGACGAAUAAGGCCAGUAGCCAGCCUUUUUAAAAACCAGAAGGGAAGAAAGAGCCAAUUGAAAAGGCUUUAAAGAAGAGAUGAAAGAAUUGUUACAAACAAAGCAAAGGGCUUGAAGGACGCCCUCUCAUACUUUCUCAACCGAUGAAGCGAGCUAGGUCUCCUCCUUUUCAGGGAGAGCUAAUGCUUGUUGGGUAUUUUGGUUUGACACUGCUUCAUACCCCCCACGUGGAUUGGCCAGGGUCUUCUUCGGCUAAUGAGACCUCGAUCCCGAAGCCUUCGAAGUAUUUUUUUGAUAGGUGCCUCUUUUUGUAUGGGGAAUUCGCUGCUAAUAGAUCUCGCCCAGUGUCCCCCUCCUUCCCUCGGCCACCUUUCUUCGAGAAACGUCAGCAUGCUCUUUGAAACUGGUGCUCUAGAAGCUUUAGACCGCACUUGAGCAGGUUAAUCUUAAGUGUUGGAAGCUACUGCUAAGGGAAUCCCCCUCAUCUAGAAAGGAUAGGCAAUUGAGAGAGAAUAGGGUUAUAGCGAUAGACACAGGAACUGAAAGAGAUUUUGACGAUUACUUCCGUAGAGGAGAGGGGAAAGCUGCUUAGAUAGGGCGAUAGCUCGGUUUUGAUUGUUUAUCCUUUCCUACGCUUGUCUUGUAUUGAGGUAUACUAAAGAAAUGAGUAAAAGUCGGUAACAGAAGGGGAGGUAUUGCUGUUUUUUAUUAGUAAGGACAAGCCGCUUUCAUUUUCAACAAUCUAAUGGUAGGGCGAGUAGGCGGUUCGUAUCUUUCUAUGACCCCCAGAAUAAGAAGUUGGAGGAUAGGCAGAGCAAGACCUCUUGAAGUCUACCCGGGCACGCUUCUUCAUUCAUCUUUUUGGUUAGAUAAUGGAAGACGAUAAGCCACCGCCCAGUAGUGCUCUCGGAGCUUGAUUGCUCCGAGCCGGUAACGUGUAGGUCACAAUCUAAAUUUCUAACUGAAAAGCAGAAAGUAAUAAGUUCAACGGGUAAGAGAAUGCAUUUAACCGAUUGAAAGCGUGAUAAGUGUCACUAACGGUAUAGCGAAUAGGGCGUUUAACUGUAACUCACCGGUAGGACAGAUAACGUUUGUGGUUUGAGUUCGCUUAUCCGACCUAUAUUUAUUUCCAACUAAAGGUAAAGGCAUUUUUCGCUUCACCGGAAUCCGAUGUCAAUUGGUUACCGGUUGGAUUCUAUCCCUCCCCUACGUUUUCUUUUGCCCUCUACCCCCAAAAAGCGAAAGGAGAGGGAACAACCAUAAUGAUACACCCUAAAACUAUACGGAGCCCUUCAGAAUGACCUAGAAUAUAGUCUACUAGACUAGACAAGAAAGAGUGACGUAGACUAUAUUCGCCCGUAGAGGUGAGAGGAGAAAGCUGUGAAGAUUCUAACUCUAACUACCACCUCGGGACUAUAUUAGUAUAAAGCGACAUUAUCCCUUUACUAAAUCCUCCCUCGCUUAUCACCAUGAACAAGACCUUUCCCAAUCAAAGCAAGGGCGUAGCAGCUUUCACCAGGGAAACUUCCUAUUAGGAAUGGCUUCCUUUCAGGUUGUGUUGUUACAGACCAGACUGUUCUAACAGGGCAGGGGAGACGGAUAACUAAUAUAAUACAGUAUAGCUAUGAUCGGGAAAUAGCGCAGAUAAGAUCCGACUGAAUGUGUGAACCAUCUGACUGUAUUUUCCAACUGAAAUGGAAUAUUACUACCGAAAUUGAAUUGUACAUCCAGAAUAGUCCUAAGAAGACAUGAUCCCAGGCCGGUACUUGACAUGUACCCCCUCUUCCAGGUCCAUCACAAGGAAAACGAAAACCAAGAUUUGCCUUAUCCGGUAUCAAACAAGAACUGCGAGCAAAUAGAACACCUUUCAAGAGUAUCAAUACCGUCACAUGAAUCGAAAAUGCAUGAAUGUGAUAGGGAGAAUCAUGCAUGGGAGUUGUGCGGGAAUAAAUCUCAGCCAAAGUUUGCCAGUCCUCUUGGGCGGCCGAGAGUGUUAUGUAAAAAGGACCAAGGAGGAUGCCUGCUACUUCAUCUGGGAGAAAAGAAUCAUAGCUCCCGGUAGCAAAAGGGAGUAGCAAAGGGGACAAAGGACUCGUAGUACCUACUAGCGUGGCUACGCAGUGGAAGGGAAGGAGCCUAAAUUAACCCCCUUCUUUUUAACAUAAUUUUUGAAUUGGAUCAAUACUUCCAGGGCGGACCCCAACCGAAAGGCACUAGACGGAGGUUUCAGGUUCAUACUCUGCUCCCUAAUCCGCUUUCUCCUUUGACGCUAUGAAGUCGCUUUCUUCUUUGACGUGAAUCGUGAAUACGGGAGCUGCUACUGAGUACUGAGUGAAUGGGCAAAAGGAGAUUGGGGAUCUAUCGAGUGGAAAACCAGGAAGACUAUCGAUACACCGAAGAGCUACCAAACACGGGAACUCAGGAAGGCAAAGGGGGAGAUUUUCCUUUAUCCACCCGAAAUAGAGCUAUCGAUGAAAGGAUCCAGAUUUCACACUAUGCUGUGGGCUGGGGAAAGAGCUGCCAUAUCUUGAUGUAGAAAGGAGCUCUCUUCACAUCCAUCUGGUGAAGCUUUAAGUAAAAGUGAAUUGAAAAACUACAUGAGGGGAUUUACAUGCCACCUUCUCCAGGGUGAUACCGAUGUAUUUUGAUAUCCCACAGGUUCGACGAAAUGAGAGCGUCAGCUGAAGGGUGCGAAGCUCGCGCUACGCUCUAGUAGAAGCAAAAGCGGAAGCAAUCCAAAAGGUUUUAGCCAACUGAGACCGUAGAUUUGGGUACGACAACAUUACUUGAUUGUCUGAAAAGGCAAAGAUACUCAAAAGUGGUAUGCGCACAUAAAAAGCGGUUGCAGAUGCCCAUGCUUUGAUUCGAAAGCUCGACCUGCGUGGGACUGAUCUGGACUGAUAACCCGAACCCUUAAUGCUUAAGUAAGACUUCCACCACGUCAAGGUGACACUCUACCACUGAGUUAUAUCCCUUCCCCACCCCAUCGAGAAAUAGAACUGACUAAUCCUAAGUCAAAGAAAAUAUGACAUAGAGCCAUACCGGCCAACCCCUCUCUCCAUUUUGAAAACUGGACAUCAAAAUGCCAUGCGCUCACGGCCCCUUCUUCACGUUGAAGUAAAUUGUGGCAGCAGCCCGAGGUGGGAAUGAAUCCUUCUUGUGCGCUUUCAAAUCUUUCAUCAACUGUUGGGCUCUCUCGGGGAACUCGCCCUUGGGAUUCAGAAAUAUCUAUUUCUACUUUUCAGGCACUACCUGUCCACCAUUUCACUCAUCCUAUCCAUCCUUUCCAUGUAAUCCAUCUUUGAGUCGCAGCUGAAAGAACUACCUUUCACAUCCAAACUCGGGGUCCUACCCCUGUCUUUCGCCUUAUCGCCCUUACUCUCCUUCCCUUGCCAAUGGAUCAGAAUCUUUUCCAACAACAUCCAGGACUCUAUCAUCCCAACCCAUCUACGACUGAGGAAUCGAACAUCAAGAGAUAGAAUAAGAAAAGAGAUGCUCUAGUUAACUGAUAGAUAAGGCACCCGCAAGCAGGGACCGAAGAGAUAGAGAAAGGGAAGACAUGCCAAUCGACCUGAAUAGAUAGCCUGUGGGAGAAUCGGUGCACCCAACCUCAAGAUAAGAAGAAAAGGCCGCUUCGGAUGCCUUCCCUUUCGUUCGCCUCUUCCCAUAAGAAAUGACGUAAGUAGUAGUGCCCGAAAUUGGCAGAUAUCUCCCAUUAGACAGAUCAACGGUAGCGGACAUGGGAUAAACUAGCAGGAGAGCCAAUUUGACCGCGCAGACCAAAUGAGCGAAAUAUUUUUAAAGUGAAAGCGCUGUGCCAACUUGCGUACAAUAUUUAUAUGUGGAUUUGAUACUAUAGUCAAAUCCUCUUCAUAAGUCCUUUCUUAUAGGCUAUUUAAGGUCUACAGCUUUCCCCUCUCCUCUACGGAAGUAAUCAUCAAAAUCUAUUUCAGUUCCUGUGUCUGUUGCUAUCGCCCACGCAGGUUUGGAACCCUAUACAAGGGGCUAGCUAUACCUGAAUCAGUUUGACUCAAUACUUGCACUUGGAUCUUUCUCCCCAGCUUCUUUCUACGAUUCUAGUCAAGUCCUGCUAGUAUGCCUCGAGAGCCUGAGCUACUAUUUUCUUUUCCUUACCCAUAUAUCACAGUUAGUACCCUGAAAGCCAUUGCCUUUCAAGUAGAGCAUCUUUUCAAGUCAGUAUUAUCCCGCUGAUUCUAUGCCAUCAAAGCAUGCUAACAACAGGCCAAAAUAUGAGACCCGAAGGGCCCGGCAUGCACAAUCCUAUCCUAUUCGAGUCCGAGUUUACCCCUUGCACUUCUCGGGCCUCUAGUGAGUUACAGACAGAGUUCGAAAGGGUCAAAUCUUUAAUGAUUCCAUCAUCUAUGAUUGAUUUAUGAAAACUUCUGGAUAGGUAUCCAACAUCUGAACCGAAUUCUUUCUGGUUAAAGAAUCUCUUUCUAGUUGCUCUAGAACAAUUAGGAGAUUCUCUAAAAGAAAUAUGGGGUUCUGCUUCUGGCGGCAACAUGCUUGGUCCCGCUUAUGGGGUCAAAUCAAUACGUUCUAAGAAGAAAGAUUGGAAUAUCAAUCUUAUCAAGAUCAUCGAUCUCAUACCAAAUCCCAUCAAUCGAAUCACUUUUUCGAGAAAUAUAAGAUGACCAUAUCUGCUUUUGCGCCAUGACAAUCUCACUCGAAUUACGGGAACCUACACAUAUUAGUAUAGUAUAUCGGGGUCCUCGGCCAGAACCACACGUGCAAGUUUCCCUGCAUGUGGCUCGUCUGUGCUUUUCGAGGCGCUGCUUGUGACUCAGCAUGGGAGAAGAGGGCGGAACUGCACACUUUCGUGUUCAGAGUAUUGUCCGAGUGAGUAGGCAGCUCCAUUGGGAAGUGAAGAGUGGAGAGCCCACUUGAUCUUUUUGUGGUUUUGCCGAAGUUAUUGCUUUUUUAGUCAUUUCAGUAUGUUGAUAGAGAGCUCUGGGAAAGCAAAGAAUGGAAUGUCUGUUCUGUAACAAAGAAGAAGGUUGCUUGAUUAGGCUGAGCUUCGGUCCAGCUUGUUGUUACAUGAGUCUUGGCUUCAGCAGAUGGAUCCUAUUACUAUGUUGAUGAUCUUGUAUACUAACCGAGUCCGCACUCACUCGAGAACACGUAUGUCCUCCCUGUAAUUGUCUUGUCUUUGUUAUGGUUUUAGGGCCUACAUCUACCCGUAUGGAGACACCAUCAUUCGCAAGGCUUGCUUUACAUUGGACCCAAUGUUGAGCCUCUCAUAGCCCAUAUUUCUGCUGACGAAGGAUAAGAGUGCGCCCCUGCGGAUACACUUCCAUACCAAGAAAGUCAUGGAGAAGGCCCGACGUCUUUCAUAUUUUCAUGAGCAUGCAAGAACGAAAGAAGAGCAAGUAUUCCCUGUUGAUCACUACCUGUGAGAAAAAUAUCAUCGACAUAUAAAAGAAGGUAGAUACUAUCCCCAGAUGUGUGAUGAAUGAAUAAAGAGGUAUCACAGUGGGGCCUGUCUUCUGUCCGGUUCUUGGGUCCGGUUGAGCCUCUUUGAAAUUACAUCCCUGCCUCUCGUCUAACUCGAGUUGCCCCACUCCUUUGGCACCACUAAGAGGGAUUAGAUUACCAACCCCUCUUUCUAACUAGAACUUCAGAACAGCUACGCUUGUCGCCCGCUAAAGCAAUUAUUGCAGCUCUAGUUGAACCAAUUGUAACUGCUCCGGUGGAUCAGAGCUACUCGAAAACCAUGAUAGGUGCUUGAGAUCAGAACUGCUUACAGCAGCCUUGACCUGGUCCAAUGGAAAGGGAAAACUGAAAAAUUGAGCAUAAAAAAAAUCUAGAGAAUGGGCUAUUACGUGUAAACAAUGGAAAUUCAAUAAUAAGAGUCUGAUCUUCUUGCUUAAGAAUAUGUGAUUCCUACGGAGUGAAGUUGUUGGGGGGAAGAAAAGAUGAGGAAGCUAGUUUAAUUGAGGAAGCCACUUUCUUUAAUGUAUACUAGCUAGUCUACAAAAGCAUGAUGCAUGACGCUUCUCCUUUUUUUAGUCCACUCUCCCUUAGAAAACGGAGCUGCUUGAAAGCAGAUUUUGAAAUUACAUAGGUGAAUGUAGAGAUCACCGGUGUCCGAGUUUUAUCGGCCUUACGUAACUGCGAGCUUCCACUAAGGGGCCGUGGUCUAGGCUAAAUUAUUUUUAUUAGAAAGAAUGAAUGGAAAAAGGAUGCUUCUGUUAUGGUUUUUAUAGUUGCGAGAAUUUUUUUUUUCCCAUAUGCCGCUCCGCCAGCAAGGAGCGAAAGAACCAAGUUUUCUGUGGUGAUGUCAGAAUUUGCACCUAUUUGUAUCUAUUUAGUGAUCAGCCCACUAGUUUCUUUGAUCCCACUCGGUCUUCCUUUUCUAUUUUCUUCCAAUAGUUUGACCUAUCCAGAAAGAUUGUCGGCCUACGAAUGUGGUUUCGAUCCUUUCGGUGAUGCCAGAAGUCAUUUUGAUAUAAGAUUUUAUCUUGUUUCCAUUUUAUUUAUUAUUCUUGAUCCGAAAGUAACCUUUUUCUUUCCGACAAUGGAAGAAGUCUUGCACUGUGUGUUGUGUAUGUCUCAGGAGACGGUGGGUCCCAUUCCUUAUCCUAAUGAAGCAGCUGAAAAAAGGGAAUGUAGAGAAGAAUAUCCGUAUAAUAAAGCUUUCCCAACCGGCCAACGAUCCUUCCUGUGCGCUGAUCGUGGAUAAGACACUCAGAAGAAGAAAAAAUAACACGAAGAUGGUUAGCUGCAAGGUGACUGACAGAAAUUUCUUUUUAGCAGGAAAAUGGAAUCUAUCAUGAAGAAUCCGGGAUGAAGACAUAGAACCACAGUGUGAAAGAGGUAAGAGAGUGCCAUCUGCAAUGUUAACAGAAUCUUUGAUAGGUAAAGGAGGCAGACUGGACUUAAUGCUGGAAGCCGACUCUCGUUCUUUAACCUAUAACCGAAGAAAAAUGAGUUCGGAUCUUCUCUUUUUGAAGACUGGAAAGCGCCUUCUCUGUCUAAGGUCAGGCUUGCAACCUUACCACCUCGUAACUCGUUCUACCGUACUCCAGACCCCCGCACAUCAGAAGGGUGGACUGACCGCACUGGGUCGCUAAGAAAUAAGAAAUAUUUCAACGCGAUCUAAAAUGCUAGCUUGAAAAGGAAGUCCCUUACACUAGUCCAAUUCUUUUUUGGUUAUUAGCAAGCUAUGAAGAAUAUUUUCUCGAUCUUCACUUCAACUGGCCGGAUGUGGAUGGAACGUAUGCUAUGAGUGCUUUAGUUACGAUGUGGAUACCGGUUGUAUUCUAAGUUGAUUCAACAACAGCCUAAGUUUCCUUAUUUCAACAAAUUUCCUGAACUUAUAAUCUGAUGAUCGAGUCGAUUCCAUGAUUAUAAGUUCAUUCCAUACCGGACCAGGCCGGAAUAGGGUUAUAUACAUUCUCAUUAUGAGAAGGGGCCAUUCAGGCCUAUGUUAGGCAGCCGUAAUAUUUUGUUACGUUCUGCCGCUGUUACUCCAAAAUAAAAGGUUCCACACGAGCUCCCGUUCUGCGGCGUGGUGGCAGGACCGCUAGGGGAGUGGCUCCGGGUAUAGAUAGGGUGAAAUCUGCAGGGGUCAUGCAAAUACAAGCUUCACUCAUUUCCUCUUUCGGUUGGGGUUGGUUACUCUUCAUCUCUUGGUAAUUUCCUUAUCACGCAUAUCAUACAAUCUCAUAGGAAGUAGAAAGUAAGUCAAGUCCAAGGGGUUUACAUAUACUCAUAAUUGUUGUUAUAAUUAUUAUUAAUAAUUAUAAUUUAUAAUUUAGAAGGAUUUUUUGAUUGAAAAAAUCCAUACUGAUUAGUUAUAUAUCAAGUUGUAUUUUCUUAUGUCAUUAGGAAAACAAAAAUUGGAGAUUCAAAUCCAAGAAUUGUUCAUGCAUUCUAAGUCAAUAGUUAAUGGUUCCUAUUUUCAUAAAGUUGAAUUUUUGAUUUUGCGACUGAAAAUCCACAUUUGAUUUUUCAAUAGAUUUCAAUAGAAAGGUAAGAGAAAGUUUUGAACAUUAUGAAUUUUGAGAUAGACUCAAUCGAAAUUGAAAGGAUGAAUCAAACCCAAUCAAAAGGGUAGGAUUCACCAGCCGCUAGACAUAGCACAGAAGCCAACAGUAGUAUGAAUGGGACAGGAACUAUUCGACCUCUUUCAGGAAAGGGCCUUACACGCACAGGUCCGAUUACGCGUAUUCCUAAUCCUAAAUGGAAUGUAAUGAUGUAGGGAUCCAUAUGUAAACAUAGUAUCUAUUUAGAUAGGCCCAAAUGGCCCCUUCUCCUUUUUGGAAUGGAAAGAAGAAAGGAUGGUCGUAGAACACUGAUGUCGAAUUCACGAAAAAGAUCAUAUGUGAAAGAAUCAUCAGAUUAUGGGUUCCCAGAGUAGACGGAAUGGAGAAUGAAUGAAAUAGAAUAGUCUGGCAGAAUCGUAUGAUAGGGAAAGUGCGGAGCCUCCCACUUGUCUGGGUUACCGGGCUGGCUAACCUAACUAUGAAUUUCUAUCAAUGUCGGGAUAGACAGAGGUCUAGGAUAGUACGCUGUCGGAGUGAGACCGGGGUACAGUAACGAAGUUAGACCGAAAUGAACGACUCAAUUCCUCUAGAAGAAAGGAGAGAGAAAGAACAACAGUAUUUUAGUAAACACUUUUUUACCAAGGAUCUUGGAAAGCUUGGAUACUUGUUGGGUAUUGAAGUAGCAAGAUCAAAGGAGGGAAUAUCACUUUAUCAAAGGAAGUAUGUUACAGACUUUUUAGAGCAGACUGGAUUGUUGGGAGCAAUGUGGAUACUCCUAUGGAUCCGACUUUGAAAUUCAGUAAGGAUGAUGGCCAGCUCUUUGAAAAUCUAGAGAGGUAUAGACGUUUGGUUGGAAAGCUCAUCUAUCUGACUGUAACCCGACUAGAUCUAACCCUUGCUCUUGGACUGGUUAGUCAAUUCAUGCAGAAUCCAAGACAAGAUCACUGGGAGGCUUUUUGUCCUAUCUUGAGGUAUCUCAAGAAAACUCCAGGAAAAGGAUUGUUCUUUAGGGGAAAAGAUUCAAUUCUUUCACACGGAAGGAGACAACUCUCUCUUAUUGGCUUAGCCUUUCGAGUUGAAGGUAACUAUAGCUGUUCGGAACCCACAAACCAUCCCGACCGGGGGUCAGAAUUUCUUCGAAUAUGUUCUUGAAUUCAUUCGAGAUGUGAGUAAAACUCAAAUUAGAGAAGAAUAUGGGCCCUGGGUUCCUUUUAUUAGCACUAUGUUUUUAUUUAUUUUUGUUUCUAAUUGGUCCAGCUUGACAAGCAACCCUUCCUCUUGAUCUGAGGUGCGAAGAGAAAGAUUUCUUUUUUAUGACUUCCACUUAAUGAUCCUGGCCCAGAAAAGUGACCGACCAGGGCAGGGCCUGACCAGGUCAUCAUAAGAAAAUACUGAAAAAUCUUUCCAAAGUGAGAGAAGGAGGGAAGGCACGCUACAACUAACAUAACAGCCAGAAGAUCUAGCACCUCGGUCAGAGAGAAUGGGGCACGAGUUCUCUCUGAUUCAGAUUGUGAUCUACCGGUUACUGGCUUGGAGCAAUCAAGCUCAAAGAGCACUACUGGGUGGUGGCUUAUCAUCGUCUAUUAUCUAACCAAAAAGACAUGAAGUAAAAACGGUUCCAUUCCUUCUUAUUGUACUUCUGGGUCAACCCAACCCGAAUGGGAAGAAGAGGGUCAGCCAAACUGCGGUCCACAUUGUACGUUUGCAAUUGCAUACCUAUACAAGGGUUCAAGUUUUGAUCGAUAUUUGCAGAGUUGAUUAUCCCUCUCUGAAAUAGAAGGCUUAGAAGGGAGAUAAUGAAAUUAUGUGAUUGGGUCUUCGUCCGGGGCUUCCUCUUACCCUUUAAAAUCAAAAAAAGUGGUGAAGUCCAUCCUAAAGUUCCAAAUCUACAUCCAACACUAGAGGUUCCUGAUGAGAACAAAUUGUAAGGCUCCACUCGGCACCGUCGGAUCACUAAGGCCGACUUUCGUCCCUGCUCGACGGGUGGGUCUUGCAGUCAAGAUCCCUUCUGCCUUUGCACUCGAGGGCCAAUCUCCAUCCGGCCCGAGGAAACCUUUGCACGCCUCCGUUAUCUUUUGAGAGGCCUAUGCCGAACCAUAUUUACAGAGAAGCAAACUCUUCUGCAGAUUCUAUAGCCGGCUUCUCCCUUUCUGGUUUGCAUGUCUUUCAUUCUGAAUUGCCUCCUUUGACUCGUGCAUGCUUGCUCCGCAUGCUUCUUACCUUUUUGCUAGCUUCUUGAACUCGGAAUGAUAACACGAGCCCUAGAACAAGCAGUCUUAGCGAAAGAAGGUACGCGCACAUAAAAAGUGGUUGGACGGUGUCUUUCUCGAGAAGUUUCCAUAUAGGUUAUAAAGAGCUAUCUCAUAUCUAAUAGGAAUAAUCCAAUUCUUAUGUCUACUAUGGGAAACGGGGUCCCAAUACCAUCUUUUCGACGAAGUAGACAAAGGGUUCCCAUCAUGUUCGAUCUGAGAAGAGACAUGGAGAAGAAGAUGUCCUCCUCAAGGGGUCAACGCCCUCGCUCAGAACUAAAGGAUCCUCGCACAUCGGCACUCACUGCAUAAGCUCAUAGGGCAAGAUGAAGAUCCGAAAAAAGGUUAAAGAUAUCAUCAACUUCGCCUUGGCAUGCUUCCAUCAGCGCUGAAAAGAGAACUAAGGCAAGGCGGGAUCCACUGAAGAAGAUCCUUAUCCUUCUCCUUCUCUUUUUCAAGAGGGAUCCACUGGAGAAGAUCCUUAUCCUUCUCCUUCCCCGACCCCAACAGUUUGGAAGAUAUCUUGAGAAAAGGUUUUAGCACCGGUGUAUCCUAUAUGUACUUAAGUUUAUUCAAAGUAUCCCAAUGGUGUAACGUCGUUGACUUCUUGGGAAAAAGGAGGAAGAUGACUUUAAUCUCUUGUUUCGGAGAAAUAAGUGGCAGCUAUAGCUUCAUUGUUCAUCUUCCGCUCGCUACCGGAUUAGUGAACUUUACCAGAAACCAAUUCGAGGAAUUUCUGACACAAGUAUUCAAUUAGUUCGGACUUGUUUAGUAUUGAAUUGGAACCAAGACAAAAAAAGUUAUUCUUGCGAAGAAGCCCGUGCUUCUUUUCACACUUUCCAAGAAAUUCCAUAACCCCCAGGAAUAAAGGACACUCAAUCAAGAUCUCUUCUAAUUUCAUAACGGCACCCGAAGCUCAUUGGGCUUUCAGAGGCAUAACAGGGAAAAGCGGACCAGCUAAACUCACUGCAAAGAAAGCAGUCGCAGCCGGGGAUCUCCAUUCAAAGGGAUAGAAGUAAGAAAAUGUUGGAAGAGAUAGACCUCUUUCACUUAGUUGGAUUUCCUUAAGCAUAUAGAAACCUAGCGUUUUUUAUCUUUCUUCAGGAUUUGGCCUGAACUGUUCGGCAGAUUCCCACGCGUUACGCACCCGUUCGGGCUCUGGUGUAUAGAGAAGACCUCACCGUUUAAGAAGUAACCAUAGAAAUGAAGGAACCCACUAUUUAUUUUUUUAUUUCUUUUAUUUACUAUAUUUUUGAUACCUAGGAAAAUACAAUUUCUUAUUUCUUUCUUAUUUCGCAGUGAAAUACCUAAAAAAAAAAAAUCAUGGUCUGGAAGGUUAGAGUAGCGAAAGCCAUUGGAAUUUUUAUUUUAUACAUUGAAAAAAUCCGUUUUGUUAUUAAUAGACUAGGAAGGGGGAAAAUUUGAUUUCUAAUUGUAACUAAAUCUUCAAUUUCUUAUUUGUAAAGAAGAAAGUGAAGCAAAAUAGCUAGGCAUUGUAGAAAGGAUAGAACGUGCGCCUAAUCGCUUUCUCGGAUCGCUCCGGUAUGAUGGUUCCCCCGGGGGGGCCGCCAAUGCAACACGAUAGAAGAGUUCGCUCCGACGUGUAAGAUCCUCAAAUCAAAAUCAACCACGACUACCAUCUGCGGUCUAUUUUCGUUCUCUUCCCUGCCCCGGAAGGGGGAUCAAAAAAGGGUAGUUUGCUUCUCUCCUGGGCGGAUGGCUACUUAUGUAGUGGUCGGCCUUCCUACCAAAAUACCUUCUUAGUCGAAGAGCCCCUUUUAUACUACUAAGGACGCAGGAAGCAAAGAAACUUACGGGAAGGACAUUUUCUUCUCUGCCCACUCCUCUCCAAAGGCCAAGGGAGAGACUGCAUCCCUUUCCUUCGGUAGCUCUUUUGGUUUCCCAAGGAUAGCAGUAGCUGGAGCAAAGCCUACUUUCUCCUCUCCGCGAAUGAGAGAGAAAGUCAGAGGAAAAAACACGUUCUCUCUUUGCGAGAUCCAAAAGUGGAGAACGCAUAGCAUUCUAUGGGUACAUAGGAUCAAAUGUAAAGCAGCGCUCUCUAGGCAGAGUUUUAGGUCUGCUUCAAAGCUUCCAGGUUUACUUGUUUUAUUUAUGGUUAUAGAGAAUAACUCGGUCCCUUGCUUCCAUUAGUCAGGCGCAUGGAUCUCAUCUCUUUAGCUAGAAUUAUUCCUUUUGCAUAUAUAUCUCAUCGAUAAAAAAGAAAUGAUUUGACUUUCCCGUAGCUUUCUUCAAAACUAUUUCUUUUCUCUUUUUUUCUCACCUCAUAGUUUUGAAAUAAAUGUCUUUUUUCUUCUUGCUUCGCCUUCGCAUAGAAGAACGAAAGGAGAAAUCAAUGCUCUAACUCCGGCUCUCUCGCCUACUCUCAGAUGAAAUCACUGACUCAAACCCAUUGUCGAAUCCUACUCAGCGGAAUAUGGAGGUACUUAUGGCAAAACGGGCCAAUCUGGUCUUUCACAAUAAAGCGAUAGACGGAACUGCCAUGAAACGACUUAUUAGUAGAUUAAUAGAGCACUUUCGAAUGGCAUAUACAUCACAUAUCCUGGAUCAAGUAAAAACUCUGGGGUUCCAACAUCUGUCACGUCGUCCCAUCCUUCUAAUGAUAUAUUGCGAGAAGCUUUACGAAGCCAUUCGUGGUCUAUUUAUAUAUAGAUUAUCCUUUCUUACUGUGACUCGAGAAUUGAUAAAAGCACAUUCAGUUGGUUACAUGGUAUACCCUAUAAGGGGAUAUUUAUAUGAGAAAGGGGAGAGGACAAAAGCGUCAGUUGUUCACUGCCUAUGGAAUAUAGGGAGUGUGAUACAAAUGCACUUUUCCACCCAGUGCUCUUUUCCUUUGGCAUCUCUAUUUCAGUGAAUGAUUCGCCGUAACAACUAUUGAUAUUUGGCUUUUUGUUUGUUCUAUAAAAGAAUGAAAGUGGGGUAAGCCAACAAACUUUAAAAAACCAUGAAAACAACGUUUGGAUCAAUAUCUGUUCAUUCCAAGGAAGCCCUUGAAGUAGAGUUCUUACUGAUGAGUUUACUUCCUGAUACGGAACUACGUGGCAAGGGUAUUGGUGAGUCCAAAAGGCAUAACCAGAUCAAACGCCCCCGGUCAUUCCGAUAGCUUAAACUGAAAAUAAGAAAAGAUAUGACAAUCAAAAGAAGUCUAUACCUGUAGAUGAAAGAGGACAAAACUUCUACCCCGAGCACACACAAUGGAACCAUAGACAGUUAAGUAAAAUCCAGGAAAGAGAAAGAGGGUCUUAUGGAGGGAGGGGGGAGAGAAAAGGCUUGGGCCUACCUAUCCCGAUAGGACCCCAUAAAAGAAUGAGAGCUGUGGAGAGGUUCCAUAUUGCCGAGACAAAGGACAGCACUUCUGUAUGUGACCAAAUUUUCCUGUUAAAAAGAAGAUCUCUCUUCUUCUUCAUUCUCAAGAGAAAUGCUUCAACAAAACUGCCCUUCCAUAUAGAUCGUCGUGGCAUGAACGAAUUUCUUCGCUUCAAUUCCGCCCCCGCAAUGCAAGAGAUCCUAUUCUUUGGACCAGAUGAAAAGAAAGUGAACUGAAGUCGACUCGACUCUAGUGCUGUAAAUAAGAAGAAAUCUUCAUUCAGUGCCGGUAGAAAGUGGUGAGGGCUCAGGAAGUGAUGCAAACUCGACCAAAGGACAAGUCUGUUCUUGCUUCGUUUUCGGUUCCCGAUUCAAUCUUCACCUUUCCUAAUCAUGUUUUUAUAAUCAAUUUGAUCCCCCAAUUGAAUCGGGGGCAAACACCUACGAAAAUAUCGCUUGAAUUUAAGAAAAGGUCACUGGAAUAGCUCAUUGUGGAGGGAGCAGAACAUGGCAGGGGUAUUGGUAAGUCCAAAGGCAUAACCAGAUCAAACGCUCCCGGUACUUUUUCUUGUUCAAAGCUUAGCCGCACUGAUGAAGUUGAAUGCUCCUUUCGGAGAUUCGGUUCUUUCACUCCGUUUCAGAGUUUGGAAUCAUAGAAGGAAGCUUUCCAGUCUUCAAAUCUGACUUCCAACCUGAAUUAGAGGGGAGCUCCAAUUUGAAGCGUAGGCUACUAAGGAAGGCCCCUUUCCUUUUGCAUUGUCUCAUCUCGUGCAGAAGGAGGUUGAAUAGUCUAAGAAGAUGGCAAAACUCAUUGGGCCUGCCGCUUUCUCAAUUGAAAAUGGAAACUUUGAAUAUCACUGAAUAAUUCUCUCACUUACGUCAUUUCUUAUCGUCAGUCAAUCUUCAUCAAGAUAGCUGACCGAGUCGAAACCUACUGCUCAAGUCUUUCGAACCCAUCCACAAAUAGCUAGAAAAUAUUUUAUUAUUUACGACUUUGCUGCGGCUGUACAACAUGAGAAAGAGUAUACCAAAUAAAGGUAAAACCCGCACUGGAAAAAUGUUGAACCAUUUCUAGCACUUUUCAAAAUCCAUUUUUUUGCAAUGCCUUGAGUGGACAAGGUAAGACAGUACGCUCACUAGAUCCAUCAUACUAUUACUAAAGUACACUGAACACUCACUGAAUCUCGACAUCAAUUAGAUCAACAAAACCUACGAGCGAGAGAAGAGAGCUUCACAUCAAGUCAAUAUCAAUAGAAAGAGGUGCUUCUAACUAAUUCUGUCUGAGCCUUGAAUAAACUACAUUCUCUUCGAUCCCUUUCCGGAACCAGCCCUAGACCUCUUCUUUUGAAUGUUUUAUGGGGCUACUUUUUCAGUCGCAGGUGCUACUACAACUAAUUAGUUCUUCAGUUGAUUGGUGAACAAAGAAAUUUAGUACGGAACAGUAAAGUUUAAUGGAUGAGUAGGCAAUCUCGGCACAGUAAAUUUUAAUGGAUGAGUAGGCAAUCUCGACACUAAACUCAUUGCAUAAAGAGACAGGCAAGACGACGGAUUUUAUUGGUGAGUCUUCCACUGGGGGGAACAAUGAUUCUUUCCCCUAAAGGGUAACAGAAUGGGGUGGGGUCUCCUCAACUCGCUUUCCCACACAGCUGCCUAAGAGAUUAUUCGACAACAGUAAAACGACUGACUGAUAUGAGAUUGAGCGAGGAAAUGCCAAACUCUCUCUGUUGCGCUAGUUAAUCAUAUGCAAUCCUUAAAGUGCAGCAGGGACACCUUUAAAGGAGAGUGAGCAUCCCUUUAAGUAUUUUUUUUGAUUUUGAUUUUCUUUUUUUUUCUAUUUAUUUCUCUUUUUUCUAAAGAACUCUUUGCUAUCCCAUUUAGGGAUUUUGGGUUCUCACCUUCUCUCUGGGAUUUACGUUUUAAGUGUCGGGGGAUCACUUCCUAUUUCGGGCCCUUCCAACCCCUCCUCCUCAGAAGAUUCAUCCAACCUCCAGGUCUUGUCGGAGCUUUGGCCCAUGACUCACAAUGCGCAAGUCACUCCAUUAGCUCUAUUAGCUAUAGGAAGAGGAUAUCGACUUAUUAAAGGGGCGGGCGGCAGUCGGACCUUUUUAUGAACUGAUAGCGCAAACUUUAUGUCAGAAUCAAUCUGGCAUUCCGCUUCGAAAGGGAUUUGUUACGCGCGAUAUGCCGAUGACUUACUACUGGGAAUCGUGGGUUCCGUCGAGCUUCUCAUAGAAAUACAAAAACGUAUCGCCCAUUUCCUAUAAUCUGGCUUGAACCUUUGGGUAGACUCUGCAGGAUCAACAACCAUAGCUGCAUGAAGUACGGUAGAAUUCCUCGGUACGAUUAUUUGGGAAGUCCCUCCGAGAGCGACUCUCAUAUAAUUCUUGCAAGAGCUGGAAAAGUGUCUACGGGUAAAGCACCGUAUCCAUAUAACUGCUUGCCACCUACGCUCCGCCAUCCUAUUGCGAAAACUGUCUCUGCAUAGGGGAAUGCCAAUGGCUUCAAGCAAGGAACGUAGUGUGACAGUUCCUCUGACAUUUUCUUGCAAUCUUCCUCCUAAUAUCUUUAACAGGGUUGUUUUCCCACUGCCAGAAGGCCCCAUUAAGGAAAGAAUUUCACCCUUUCUUCUUCGAAUAAGGAGCUUUUAGAAUGACUUCAAUUGGCACACACAACAUUACCCGCAUCAAGUUGACCGCCCCCCUACGUAGUGAUUCUAUCAAUCAUGACGUAGGUAGGACCCUCCAUUCUGAUUGGUAUAUCAUGAAAAAAGNNNNNNNNNNNNNNNNNNNNNNNNNNNNNNNNNNNNNNNNNNNNNNNNNNNNNNNNNNNNNNNNNNNNNNNNNNNNNNNNNNNNNNNNNNNNNNNNNNNNNNNNNNNNNNNNNNNNNNNNNNNNNNNNNNNNNNNNNNNNNNNNNNNNNNNNNNNNNNNNNNNNNNNNNNNNNNNNNNNNNNNNNNNNNNNNNNNNUGCUGGGACUUUAAUCCAUCUUCAAUGAACCAAUCAAAGCACCUAAGAUCGACUUGCUAAUUCGUCAUAUCUUUUGAAAAAGGGACCUGUAGAAAAAGAUUUGACGCGAAGGAGUAAGAAGGAAGGGCUGCACUACUAACAUAAAUACUACCGCGAACAAACUCACAACGGCAUCUAAGGGAGAGUAAGCAAAAAAAAUGUGAGCGCUCCUGCACUAUACGGACAGCUUUUUGGCGGUAGGGUUGGGGCUUGAGGCAGAUUUAAAAAAAAAUGGUUGAUUACUCAGAUUCGGGAUCAAUUUGACAAUGAAACUCUUUAAGCAAUGAUCUUAUCUAUGUCAUUUCUCUUGACGCGAUACAAAAGACGACUUUCGAGAGUUACUUAGCCUCUUGACCUCUUCUCUCAAAAAAGACGUUGUACGGGCAAGUCGAUCUGUAUAGGUUGGGAAAGGGCCGGGUGGAUUACCUUUGAAAGCUAAGUCGAAGAUCUCGGUGGUCUUGUGAGUGGUUGAUAAACUACGAUUGCAGUUUUCUUUAGGAAGUCCCAUAGCAGUGAGGCUUAACAGAUAAAGAAAAGGGUGGAUACUUUUUCGGGUAGAAGGUGACAACCCUAAUGAAUUGACUAUGAAGGUGGCUCUUAGCUACAUCAGCGCUCAAAUUCCUUAAUAGUUAUUGCCCAGGCUUCGAUGAUCAACCCCUGGCACAUUUAGGUUUUGAUCUUCGGCCAUCCUGGUCCUCAGGACCCAACACUAUAUUAUUCCACUAUAUUUCCUUUCAAAUGAAAAGAUGCAAAAGGUGUUGAUACGUCCUAUCCACAUAGAAAUCUUACCCUCUUCCACAUAUUACCGGUGGAUGCUACAGCUACUAUCACUUUGGCUUUUCUAAUAUUUCUAGUACCAACUAAUUCAUUCGGGCGAGACAUCUUACGAUGUCAUGAUGCGCCCAUUCCUAUGGCCAUUCCUUUAAUACUUCUGGCUCUCAGGAAAAUCUUUGUAGGAUACUUGGCCAAAGUGUGACCUGUUAGCCCAUAAGUAAGUACUAUGACGAAGCGGCUAUUGCUCACCCGACACGAUCAGCUCAAGCUUCAAAGGAUCCAUCAGCAGCAGCUCAAGUUUCAAUCUUUCUUCCUAACCAAAGCGGGGCACUCAAAAUCGUCGUUGCCAACGGUACAAUCUAUGGUGCCUCCAAGGCAUCCAGCCGAUCCUUAACCUUCCAAGUGAGAAAAAGUACACCACACUUUUUUAUCAGAUUUGCUCAGAAAUUCACAUUCGAUGAAUCCUAUAUUUAUUGGGGAAGGUUUUGAUUCUUUGCUAUUUCCUCUUUCUCCUCCCUAUUAUUUGAUUAGUGCUGCCUGAAAAGAGUUCCCCAUAAGAGGGAUAGUCAUAACAAGAUUAUGAUUAGCGAUUUUAGAAUGGGGAUUCUGUAGGGCCUUGGUGGCCCAUAAGGGGUUCAUACAACAGGUAUAAAGUUCAUCAAUCGGAAAUCAAGACAAACCGGGCACUACGGUAAGACGUGAAAACACCCGAUCCCAUUUCGACCUCGAUAUGUGAAAUCGUCUUGCGCCAUAUGUACUGAGAUUUUUCGGGAGACAUGGUCCAAGCCCGGUGAAAAAAUACAAUCAAAAAAGAUUAUGAUGUCAAAGCACCCUUGUUUUUCCAAUUUCCCAGCUACUGCGUGUUGAUUAUACUUAUUUAAGUAUGACGUUUUGUAUAUUUUGUAUUUUGCUUCUUUUUUUAUGGUUUUUCCUUUGAUCUGCUUAUUCCUGUGAAGUUAGUGUGAAUGGUUUCCAAUAAUACAAAAGAAAGAAUUUCCAAUUUACAAGAUAUGAUCUAUCUGGAUAGUUUGUUCUAGACAGUUUCCAUUGUUUUUGCUGUCGGUCUAGAUGAGGGACGAAGGGAUCUCCUGUCCUCUACUGACCCACCCCAAUCAGCAUUACUAUAGAUUUCUACUCUCCCAUGGCCAUGAUUAGUAUAGAUCAUACCUUUGCCAGGAUAACCUUUGAGGUACCUCAAGAUCCUGUAUACUACAUGUAGGUGUGCUUGACAAGGAGCAUGCAUAUACUGGCUUACCAACCCCACAGCAUAGGUAAUGUUAGGUGAGAAUUAAUCCCAAUCGAAUUUAUAGAAGGGAGACCCUCUAUUCUCUUAAUCUUUAGAGUAGAUAUUAUAUAUAGGAUAAUUAGUCCACUGCGGUGCAAAAGACAAGGCAAGAUAAAUAGGAAUGUUGAAGGGACAUAAGGCUCAGCUAAGGUAAGGAAAGACCCUGACCAUCUAGGUCACCAAUCUUAUUUUUUAGGGAGUCGGAGAUGAUCAAAGAGGCAGCAAAAUAGGAACUUUCGAUCAGGGAGAGCUCAACAAGGUCGAGACCAAGAUGAUGGAUAUUCCAAGAAAGAUCGAAGAAGAUGAAUGAAGGUUUAUACCUACCCCUAACUGGCGAACAUCCAGGGGAAUUGCUAGACUUGGGGUUGUCCCAUCAACUUCUAUUAGAAUAGACUCGAAAUGGGAAGCCCCUAGCGAAAGAAGUGUGGCUUCAAGUCAUGCGACUAAAAGUGUGUUUUCUUAAGUCUUUCUCUCAUUUCGAAAGAAGAAAGGGCUCGUGGAAUAGAAAGAGUUCGUUGCAUCAACAAAGUGUAGUAGUCAAAAAGGCUUAAUUAAGCUCACGAUGUGGAUUCGAACCACUUCUUCUCCUUAUUAUCGUGAGCAGGUCUGUCGUCCUCCUCAUUAUAGUCCUCCUAGAAUCCAGAGCAUUUCGUUGGGGUUGUGGGGCUUACUUCCUAGCCCCAGUGGGAGUAGUGACUAGCGUUAUAGGUCGUUGGGCGGCCGGAAGGUUGCCACGAGGUUUGGAGGAGAAUUGGCCAUUCAAUCUUGUGAACUAAUCGAGACCGAAAUUGGAAAAAGAGAUACGAACAGAGAGGAAUAACCAAUCGAUGAAAGAACAUAAAACUAUUCUGUUUCAAUAGAGGUACGAGAAACGGUUGGGGACAAUGAAGUAGGCGGAGAAUUGAGAAAGAGCUUAUUAGCUUAUUUCAAAUUCGAGUCACACACCGACCCGGGCAAUCACUAGCUACAAUCGAUGGAAUUUUGAUUGAAACUAUUCACUUAGUGUUCGCCAUGGAUGAUAGAAUUCCUCCUGGAAGCGAAGGUAGCAGCAAAGCCUAUUGAUUCACCAGUUUGCUAACCUACGUGUCGGCUACCCGCACUCUGUAACUAGAAUAGGGCUCUGGACUUAAAACCACCCGCUUUUAGAAGUCUGGAAGGCGGCGCCUAAACUAGUCGGACUUGCUUGAAUCGAUACGCUUACCGGACUUCUCUGCCUAUUCAAUUUAUUUUGUUGCAGACUCUUCCCCACGCCUAUUUCUUCCCCCAGCCCUGUAGUGGAGCUUUCCCCCCGCCCUAGGCCUAUUGAGAUCUUUCCCUGUGCAGGUAAUUUUGGGCUCUGGAGAGGAAUACCCGGAUCAUCGGAACUUCAACCAGAAGAGGUAGUCUUGGGUUCCUGGUAUAGGUAUAAGAAAGCCAGUAACCCUUUGCUUCGCAACCGUCGUCUUUUAGCUGAUUGAUGAGUGUCAAAGAUAGACGUGUCACGCCGCAUGAAGAAAGUUAUCAAGUUUAUUUCUGUGCCCCCUUUUUUUCGUCGAAAUAAAUUUAUGCACUAGAGUGCCCCUUUCGGUCUUGCGGCGCACUCACUCCCUUUCCUUCCGCUCACUUCUAGACCCUUCGCUCCCGGUUAGUGCUCUUUGUCCCGGUCUAUUCUGGGUGAUAUGAUAUCAUAUAGCCAGGAAAAAGGGAUCUACUAGUCAUCGCCUUUGAGCUGGUAUUACCUGGAGUGCUGUGUCCUAAUAGCCUACUGGUAUACAAGCACACCGUGCUCUAGGUUAGUUAAGCCUAUGAGCAUAAAGAAGGAAGUCUGCACCAGCCCACUAGCAAAACAAAAGGCAAGGAACUUUUUUCACUAGUAUAGUAUCGGAGACGAGGUUCGGUGGGAAAGUGAGCUGAUCUCGCCUUUGUUGAUCUGCUUUAAUAGAGUUGACCCUGCUACAUCGCGAUCGUUUAUUCCCAAUCAAGAGAGAAGAAAAAGCACACAAAGCACAGAUUCAUGUCCGUCCCUGACUCCAUUUCUUGUCUGAAAGAGAAAAAAAUAGGCUACCUUAUUCUAUGAGUCGAAGACAGCCUCAAAGCGCCAAACGAACGACCCUAACCAAUUUCCAGGCAAGAUCUAAGCCAAAUGAGCCUAAUCGUAACAAGCUUGAAUGAAAUCAAUGGGACCGGCUUAGCGAUAUGGCAGAUAGACCCCUAACAUUUCCUUGAUCUAAUGCUUUUUUUACGAGUAGAGUCGAUUCAGAUUAGGAGAGGGAAAAAACCUGAGCUCUAUGAUUUCAAAAAGGGGAAAGCAUACUACAAGGGGAAAUCUCCUAUUUCUAUCUAUUGAUGAGACAACUAUCUAUUCUUGAUCCAUCAGAAAGAAAUCGAUAUGUAUCUAAUAGAGUCUACAUCGUAUGUAGAGCGCCCAACCGCUUUUUAGGCCAGCUCAGUUCUCUUAUCCAUCGGUCCAAUGCACUGGGCUCAUCUCAUGGAGGGAAAAUCAAAAAUGUAGUUGUCUUAUUCGCCGCCUUGACGCAUUCCCUUCUCUCCCUGGUAUCGUCCCACACAGAAAGAAAGAGCGCAGAGCCCCGGCCCGACCUGCAGGUCCCUGGUAAUGACAGGGUAAAGGCUGCAUUAAUAUUAUCAGUGUGAAAUCCCAUGUUUCAAAUGAAACUAAGCCAUUCUCAUCCUAUAGGUUUUCGAUGAUUACAGAUCAGAUGGGUGUCAAAAAUGGUUGAGAGACAGCUAGGAGCUACCAUACGGUACACUAUGAUACCCCCGGUAACCUAUGUAUGAAGUGACUCGACUGAAAGGAGAGGGGUCAAAACUCACUGAUUGGAAAGGGGAGAAAAACAAAGCAAUGCCAAGAGCUUCGUCAAUCCGCUGUUCAUCGAUAGAUGGGAUUCUUUUAGGGUUCAUACAUGCAUUGAUCCAGUCGAAGAACCUGCUCCAGAGCGACAACUACCAAAAAAAAAGUGAAGGAGAGCCACUUUUUGUAUAGUAUAGAGUAUGACUAAAAUUCCAAGCGCUCCUAGCUCAGAAACCACACACAGACAAACAUAUGGAGGCCGCCAGACGAAAGAGAUCGGAAAGUUAAAGAUUUUUUUCCCUUAAGGCUAUCUAAGAGGCCUUUCUUCGUGCUUGGAUUUCUUCUCACGAGUUGUUGGGUGCGGCAUAUUCAUGGACUGGCAAAGCGAACUCUCAAUUUGAUCAGGAGAGCCUAGAGAGCUCUCUAUCUUUCUGUAUAAAAAGGGGUCGAGAACUACAUAGAUCUGAGACUUUCAAGAACCGAUGUUGUACUUCUUUAGUAGAAUGCUCCGUAAUCUAUCUAACUUUUCUGAAGCUGAAUUCAGGGCAGGUUUAAUGCUUGCCCGAUUUUGAGGACCCUUUAGCAGAAUCGUGGCUAGGGAACUAUACUAGCGACCUACCCAAUUUAUUGUAGAAAUUUUUGCGAUCAAUGAUUGGACCAUGCAAACUAGAAAUGCUUUUUCUUGGUUAAAGAAAUAGAUUACUCGAUCUAUUUCCAUAUCGCUCAUGAUAUAUAUCUUAACUCGGACAUCCAUUUCAAGUGCAUAUCCUAUUUUUGCACAGUAGGGUUAUGAAAAUCUGCCAAGGCUCGAAGACCUCUGGGACAUGGAACAGUACUUUAAGGCUGUUCGUGCCCCUUUUGAUGACCAAGGCACAAUGGCAACAAUCUAUCUCCCUGGGGAUGCGAAGAAUAUUUGAAACGACUUUCGUCACCACCUCUCACCUAUCCUACACAUUCGAUUAAGGUUGUUACUGCGAAGCUAUAGUUAAGGUGCACGGGGUCUUACUGUCUAGCCGUUGGUACUCCGCAUCUUCACGGAGAAUUCAAUUUCACCGAGUCCAUGUCGGAGAGGUUACGCUGCAUCACAAAGAGCAAUUGUGAGGAAUAGCCAUUCUAGAACAAUCAUUUGGUUUGGUUCAUUCUUUGACUGCUCUGCUCCCAGAAAGAGAGACU